rnacentral:rRNA from 1 species
AACGAACGCUGGCGGCGCGCCUAAUACAUGCAAGUCGAGCGAGAAGACGUAGCAAUACGUUUGUAAAGCGGCGAACGGGUGAGGAAUACAUGGGUAACCUACCCUCGAGUGGGGAUAACUAGCCGAAAGGUUAGCUAAUACCGCGUACGCUCCUUGGACUUCGGUUCAGGGAGGAAAGCGAUACCGUGGGUAUCGCGCUCUUGGAUGGGCUCAUGUCCUAUCAGCUUGUUGGUGAGGUAACGGCUCACCAAGGCUUCGACGGGUAGCUGGUCUGAGAGGACGAUCAGCCACACUGGCACUGCGACACGGGCCAGACUCCUACGGGAGGCAGCAGUAAGGAAUAUUGCGCAAUGGGCGAAAGCCUGACGCAGCGACGCCGGCGGGGGNGGGA